UACGUAGGGGGCAAGCGUUGUCCGGAAUCAUUGGGCGUAAAGCGCGUGUAGGCGGCUUGGUAAGUCUGCUCUGAAAGCCCGGGGCUCAACCCCGGGAGGCGGGUGGAUACUGUCAAGCUCGAGUCCGGAAGAGGUGAGUGGAAUUCCGAGUGUAGAGGUGAAAUUCGUAGAUAUUCGGAGGAACACCAGUGGCGAAGGCGGCUCACUGGUCCGGUACUGACGCUGAGGUGCGAAAGCGUGGGGAGCAAACAGG
rnacentral:rRNA from 1 species